rnacentral:rRNA from 1 species
CCCUUAGAUGUUCUGGGCCGCACGCGCGCUACACUGAUGCAUUCAACAAGCCUAGCCUUGACCGAGAGGUCCGGGUAAUCUUUGAAACUGCAUCGUGAUGGGGCUAGAUUAUUGCAAUUAUCAAUCUUCAACGAGGAAUGCCUAGUAAGCGUGAUUCAUCAAAUCGCGUUGAUUACGUCCCUGCCCUUUGUACACACCGCCCGUCGCUCCUACCGAUUGAAUGUGUUGGUGAGGAGCUCGGAUUGGCAGCAGUUGGUGGUUCGCCACCGGCUAUUGCUGAGAAGUCCUCCAAACCGCCCCAUUUAGAGGAAGGAGAAGUCGUAACA